GGCGGACGGGUGAGUAACACGUGGGCAACCUGCCCUUGAGAGGGGGAUAACACGGAGAAAUUCGUGCUAAUACCGCAUAAACUUUAUCUAUCGCAUGGUAGAUUUAGCAAAGAUUUAUCGCUCAAGGAUGGGCCCGCGUCCCAUUAGUUAGUUGGUGAGGUAACGGCUCACCAAGACCACGAUGGGUAGCCGACCUGAGAGGGUGAUCGGCCACAUUGGAACUGAGACACGGUCCAGACUCCUACGGGAGGCAGCAGUGGGGAAUAUUGCACAAUGGGGGAAACCCUGAUGCAGCAACGCCGCGUGAGCGAUGAAGGCCUUCGGGUUGUAAAGCUCUGUCUUCGCUGACGAUAAUGACGGUAAGCGAGGAGGAAGCCACGGCUAACUACGUGCCAGCAGCCGCGGUAAUACGUAGGUGGCAAGCGUUGUCCGGAAUUAUUGGGCGUAAAGGAUGCGUAGGCGGUUCAUUAAGUGGGAUGUGAAAUACCCGGGCUCAACUCGGGAAGUGCAUUCCAAACUGGUGAGCUAGAGUGCAGGAGAGGAAAGUGGAAUUCCCAGUGUAGCGGUGAAAUGCGUAGAGAUUGGGAGGAACACCAGUGGCGAAGGCGACUUUCUGGACUGUAACUGACGCUGAGGCAUGAAAGUGUGGGGAGCAAACAGGAUUAGAUACCCUGGUAGUCCACACCGUAAACUAUGAGUACUAGGUGUAGGGGGCGAAGCCCUCUGUGCCGCAGUUAACACAAUAAGUACUCCGCCUGGGAAGUACGAUCGCAAGAUUAAAACUCAAAGGAAUUGACGGGGGCCCGCACAAGCAGCGGAGCAUGUGGUUUAAUUCGAAGCAACGCGAAGAACCUUACCAAGGCUUGACAUCCUAAGAACCAGAAAGAAGUUCUUGGGUGCCCUUCGG
rnacentral:rRNA from 1 species